AGAGUUUGAUCAUGGCUCAGGAUGAACGCUGGCGGCGUGCCUAAUACAUGCAAGUCGAGCGGAAAGGCCUCUUCGGAGGUACUCGAGCGGCGGACGGCUGAGUAACGCGUAGGAAUGUACCCCAAAGUGAGGGAUAACUGCUCGAAAGAGUAGCUAAUACCGCAUGUGAUCCACGGAUUAAAGCUUUCGCGCUUUGGGAACAGCCUGCGUAUGAUUAGCUAGUUGGUGAGGUAAUAGCUCACCAAGGCGAUGAUCAUUAGCUGGUCUGAGAGGAUGAUCAGCCAGACUGGGACUGAGACACGGCCCAGACUCCUACGGGAGGCAGCAGUAGGGAAUUUUCCACAAUGGGGGCAACCCUGAUGGAGCAACGCCGCGUGCAGGAUGAAUGCCUUCGGGUUGUAAACUGCUUUUAUUAGUGACGAUUAUGACGGUAACUAAUGAAUAAGGACCUGCUAACUACGUGCCAGCAGCCGCGGUCAUACGUAGGGUCCAAGCGUUAUCCGGAAUUACUGGGCGUAAAGAGUUGCGUAGGUGGCAGGGUAAGUAGAUAGUGAAAGCGUGUGGCUCAACCAUACAUCCAUUAUCUAAACUGCUCAGCUAGAGGACGAGAGAGGUAGAUGGAAUUCCUGAUGUAGGGGGUAAUAUCCGUAGAUAUCAGGAGGAACACCGAUGGCGUAAGCAGUCUACUGGCUCGUUCCUGACACUAAGGCACGAAAGCGUGGGGAGCAAACAGGAUUAGAUACCCUAGUAGUCC
rnacentral:rRNA from 1 species